UGACCUGAUCUCCAGACAGAGCUGAGGUCUCUGUGAAGGACAGACCUUUAGAGCUGGCCAGACCCAGUCCUUCCUGUGGGACCACAUGGAGAAAUCAUCACAUGGAUCUGCUGGAACUCACACUCUAUGUUUCAAAGUGGGUCACGGGGGAGCUGGUGCCGAUCUCCAGCAAUCUACGGGCGAGAGACGAGGUCCAUCCUGGACAGAUACAAGAACCGAACCUGGACUGAAGAGCAGCCAAAGUUGAAGUCUUUGUGUUUAGGUCUCAUGCCUACCUCAGCUGAAACCUGCCGGUCCUGAUCCAGGUCUCCCUUGUUGCCCACGAGACAAAUGACCGUAGA